rnacentral:siRNA from 1 species
CAUUGUUACUAAGUAACGUCCUGC